CACGUAGGGCGCAAGCGUUAUUCGGAAUUAUUGGGCGUAAAGGGCGCGUAGGCGGCCUGACAAGUGGAAGGUGAAAUCCCUCGGCUUAACCGAGGAACUGCCCUCCAAACUGUUUGGCUUGAGACCGGGAGAGGUGAGUGGAAUUCCCAGUGUAGCGGUGAAAUGCGUAGAUAUUGGGAGGAACACCAGUGGCGAAGGCGGCUCACUGGACCGGUACUGACGCUGAGGCGCGAAAGCGUGGGGAGCAAACGGG
rnacentral:rRNA from 1 species